GGGGUUGUGGCUCAGAGGUAGAGCACUCACCUAGCAUGUGUGAGGCACUGGGUUCAAUCCUCAGCACCA
rnacentral:tRNA from 1 species